rnacentral:lncRNA from 12 species
AUGCUCUCAGUGACCAUGUUCAUGUAUGUCACCAGCCUUAGUCUGAGAAUGUCUGUGAAACCAAGAGAAGAAGACUUCUCUUCCUCAGCCCACAGGGAAAAACAAAACAAAACAAAAAAGGCCUUCUUCAGGAGUCUCCAGAUAUAUAUUGAUGGAUCCUACAGGGAGGUCCACAUAAUGACUCGUCUCUGGCCUGAUGUCCCAGCAUCUGCUACACGUUUCCUUCAACUCCAGGAAGCUGCACAUCAAGAAGGCAUCAUCAUUAUGAAAAAUAAAACCACAGAAGAAGCUAAAUUUGCAAAGAGAAAUUCCAUUAGCAUCUGGAGGGCCGUUUCUUUGUUUGAAGGGACAGCGAAACACGGUUAUGAAGAUUCAGAGCAUGGCAUCCUCCUCCCGAUUCUUGGGAUUGUAAAGGCAGAUCUGUAACCGCCAGGAAGUCCCUGUGCUGCCUAUUAUAAACCGUAAUCAGUUGGAACUGAUUGCUCAACUCUGGUCAUUUUCAUCUACAAACAAAUUCACAAGUUUUCCAGACAAAUAUGGAUGGGCUGGUAAAUUUAAAUUUCAAAUGAAAAAAUAUCUUCCUGUAAUGAGUUCACAUACCUUUUAUUUAGACUUCCAAAUGCCAGCAUAAUGUGAUUAGUUUUGAUGUUGUUUCUUUCCACCACUUAUGAGAAAUCACAUCAUCAAUCAUAUUAUCAAAAUUAGAUGUGGAGAAGACCUAGCAUGUCACCAGGACCCUCCCCUGUGCCUGUAUAGACUUGUUUUAGCCAGUGUCUGUACUUUUUAAUAUUUUCUUCAAUCUAAUAUUAAACUUCCCUUGUGAUCAAGCAUCUACCAUUUCCAUUGUAAUGACAUAAAAAUAAAAAAUGAGAGUUUGUUUUCUUAAGAGGGUGC